CAUGCACUGUGACCAUGGACAUAAUAAAGGAUGGACCACAGACUGGAAAAUGGCCGCCCAUUCAUUCCUAUACAAACUGCUCAGUGGCGCAGGGUAACAUACAGGAGCGAUUUGCUUAUGUCUAUGGCCAAGACACGUGACCUAGUCCGUGACGUACCGGAUGCAGAGAUCUUCUUCUUCUUCUAGUUUAGUGGCGGAUCAUAGGCUGUGUCCCAAUUCCUAGGACGCAUCCUUCGAAGGCUGCAUUCGAAGGAUGCGUCGACGCAGAUUGCGUCACAGCGACGCGCCAAGUGCUGUCCCAAUUCCAAGGGUCCUUCAAAUGCGGCCUACGAAUGCAGCCUUCUUUUCCCGGAUUUGAAGGAUGCAUCGGCUGUAUCCUUCACGGCCCAACGUAUCCCAAGAUCCUUCACGGCCCAACGUAUCCCUCCCAAGAUUCAUUGCACACUCAAUCAAUGGAGAUGGCGGAGAAUGGCGAUUUAAUUUCUGUAUUUAAAUGGAGCCAGCAGCAUACUGCUCGAUUUAUUCUAUUGAGGGGGGAGAAGGAUGAGCUGUUCACCGGGGUGAAAUACUCAGCAAGUGUGGCUUGGGGGACAAUUCUGGAGGAAAUAGGCCUGCAGGGGAAGGUGACUCCCCCGCAGGCAAAGAAAAACUUAUGCUGAAAUUUGUUUUGAUACUGCUCUUGUUAACUGCCAUGAUUGGCCACUUGGCCCUGGUUUGUCCCCAUGGAUAAGGUAUUGGAUUGGGACAGAGGCAUUCCACCAACCCCCCUGUCCUAAUUGCAUCCAUCCCUGAGAACACACCAGGGCCAAGUACAGCAAGUACAGCAGUGGUGGAUCAGGAGGUGGAGGACAAGGAUCAGGAGGAGGAAAGACAGCGAGGGCCAAGGUCCAGAAAGAGGGACAGAGAAGAAAACAUGUUCCAGAGUCGCUCACUAUCUUCCGAAAAGGACUCAAGAUUCACCUGUUCAGAGUCCACCUCGACUGCAUAGCCACCCUCCCCCUUCUGGCCACCAUUGUACACUGUGUUGUAUUGUAUUGUAUUGUAUUAUAGUACUUAACUGUGUAGCAACUGCAGUAGGCUGCUAUCAUGGCUGUAACACGGGGAAUGGGUUAGCCUAGCGAUUGUGGUACUUGGUUCUAUGAACAUCCUUUCUGUACCGACAGCGAUAUAUUGAUGCACUUCUUAUGACAAAUGUACUUAUUGUAAGUCGCUUUGGAUAAAAGCGUCUGCUAAAUGCCCUAAAUGUAAAAUGUAAAUGUUCCAGUUAAUAAAAGAGGACAUGAGGCUACAAAGGGAGGCAGAGGAGAGGAAAGCAGGGAAAGAAUGGAUAGGUUUUUCUCAAUUAAUAAAAUAUAUUAUUAAUUGAGUAUAAAAAUAUAAAAUAUAUAUACUUAAGGUUAAAUUCUUCUAAUUAGGUUAGUAUCUCUUAGCUAAUUUAUCAGCAAUUUCAUUGCCAUAUAUUCCAUGGUGGGCUGGAAUCCAACAGAACUGAAUAACUAAACCAAGGCUUAAAUUUUUAAAAGAAGACGCUUUACCUCUAUCACCAAAUCUUCGCGUAUUGAAUUAUCUGUUAUAAAACUUAUCUACAACCCAUCUAAGAGCGGUUAUUAUUGUGGCCAUCUCGAUUGAGUAUACUGAUAAAGUCACCCACUCUAUAUCCAUAUCCUUUUUCAAAUUCUGGAAUAUAUAUGCCAAUACCACAUUGACACCAUUCUAUUCUAUGAUAGCUGAUAACCAAGGUACACACUGUAAUACUAUAAUCAAGAGGACAUACAGGCAGUUCAAAUAAAAAGAGAUAGAACUUUAUUGAUCUGGAAACUUCAUAAAUAUGUAAGAUUGCUCCAUAUAAUACCAUAGUAACAUAGUAAAUGUAUGUAGGCCUAAAAAAAUCAUUUCAAUGUAAUUGCUUAAGAAACAGAUUCCUUCAAACUAACUAUUUACGAAAAAUGCAAUCAAUAAUUUAUAUGAAAGUAAAUGUUUACAUAUCGACCAGCAACGAAGUUGGAGUAGCCUACCCAAAUAAUGAAUUGUAAUACACCAACAUUGUCAACUGUCAUACAUAGCUAACCAUAACCCUGUCAUACAUAGCUAAACAAGCAAAUGAAAAUGAAAUACCUACCAACGCAACUGAAAUGUUAAUAUUAGACAAUUAACAAUACUAUGAAAAUUACGUAGGUCUCCCAUAAUCAUUCAGGUAAUCAAUACGUCCGUGCCUGUUACAGCUAUUUCAAUGAUAUGUGUGUUAUAUAUCCGUGUUCAACGCCAUUCAUGUUAAGUAAAAGGAGAAAUCUCAGACUUUGGAAGUUAAUUCGGAAUUUAAUUUAAUUCGGAAGUUAAUGGAGCCGUGCACUUCAAAAUAGGUCCAUAGCAAGGAGCCGUUUGUUUCAGUACGACUCCUUUCAGCUGCCCACCCAACAUAAACUGCUAAUAAAACGCUUGAGGAGGCGUUUUGAAAAGAAAAACUUACAUUUUUUUAGAACAGGGUAGAAAUAUAAUUAUGAGCAUUUGAUUGAUAUCCAGACAUUUUUUGCGGAGACACAAUCCUGUUCCCCACUUGUAUUGGAGUGGACGGCGAUAUCUACUUCUGGGCCACAUGAAAUGACGGACCCCCGUCCACAGCCAGCUUAAACAGCUGCAAUACCAGGCUUGGCCUCUGAGCACUGGUGGAUUGCGGAAGUAUGCGUAUCCUGGGGGCCUGACUGUGACCCGUUUCUCAAUUCCUAGCACGCGUACUACGGACUCGAUGACUUGCAAGCACGUACUUGGCAAGUCCGUACUUCAAGCACAGACUUGCGAGCACGCGAUUACGUACCUGCAAUUGGAACAGCAGCGGACUCGAUGACGUCAC
ensembl:lncRNA